AUGAGUGAUUUUUAGAGGCUUUUUUUCCUGAAAUAUGCUGCUUUACAUCUUACGCACUCUUUUUUUUUGUCAGGCAAAACCUAAAGCACCCAAUAUCACGAAGCCUCAGCCUGUAAACAUGUGCUGAAUUUGUGCGUUUGUUCUUUUGUUUAUCGUUCAGUUAUUUUCAAGAAAUUAUUUCAAAUCAGUACUUUUUUGUUUUUAACUCCUUUAAAAUGAAUUUUGAAAAGGAUUCUGAAAAUCUGCAUGAGGUAUUGGUUUCUGAAUGACGAAGUGACGUCUAUUUUUGAUGCAGAGGUGUGUGAGGAAAGGAAGAGGAUGGUGAGGGUCUUUGAGGCUGCUGAAGAAGUUGAAUAGGAAAGUCACAUUGAUGGAUGAAACCGUAAAUGCUUUAAGGAGCUGUCUAUUCUGAAGCAACCUUCCUCAGCUGGAUCAUCAGGGUUCCUUAGUCACUUUGGAGAUUGGAGUCAAGGGAUUUAUGCUGUACAGAAUGAACAUGAGCAUACAGUAAGUCCAAGCUACAAAAAGCGCAUCCAUCCAUUAUAAAUGAAAUUUGUGCGACUCCAGUGGGUUAAUAAAUAUCUUCUGAAGCGAAAUGAUACACUGAGAGAAAGCAUUUCAUAUUUUGAGCUUAUUAAGCGAUCCAUAUGAUGUGUGUUAAUGAAAUGGGCAAAAUGUGUGAAGUAUAUUUAAUGUGCCCAGACUCUGGCACCACAUAGAUUAACUUCGAAUUUGAUUGGGUCAUUGUUUUUUUACCUAUGUGUGCCUACAUGCAGUUAAAUGUACUUGACUCAUAUUGUCCAUUUAAAUAAAUCUCAUAUUGAUAACUAACUAUGGCUCAGUAUGAUCGUUAAAAAAUAUGUAAUUCUGUCCUAACAGAAUUUCACUGUUAAAUAUUUGAAUUUUAUUUAAUUUGAAUUUUAUAUUAUUACUAGUGAUGUUGUGAAACAGUUUGAAUAUUUUUACUUACAUUUGUCUUU